rnacentral:rRNA from 1 species
UACGAAGGGUGCGAGCGUUGUUCGGAAUUACUGGGCGUAAAGCGCACGUAGGCGGCUUUUUAAGUCAGGGGUGAAAUCCCGGAGCUCAACUCCGGAACUGCCCUUGAAACUGGGAAGCUAGAAUCUUGGAGAGGCGAGUGGAAUUCCGAGUGUAGAGGUGAAAUUCGUAGAUAUUCGGAAGAACACCAGUGGCGAAGGCGACUCGCUGGACAAGUAUUGACGCUGAGGUGCGAAAGCGUGGGGAGCAAACAGG